AACGAACGCUGGCGGCAGGCUUAACACAUGCAAGUCGAGCGCCCCGCAAGGGGAGCGGCAGACGGGUGAGUAACGCGUGGGAACGUACCCUUUGCUACGGAAUAGCUCCGGGAAACUGGAAUUAAUACCGUAUGUGCCCUACGGGGGAAAGAUUUAUCGGCAAAGGAUCGGCCCGCGUUGGAUUAGCGAGUUGGUGGGGUAAUGGCCUACCAAGGCGACGAUCCAUAGCUGGUCUGAGGGGAUGAUCAGCCACAUUGGGACUGAGACACGGCCCGAACUCCUACGGGGGGCAGCAGUGGGGAAUAUUGGAUAAUGGGCGCAAGCCUGAUCCAGCCAUGCCGCGUGAGUGAUGAAGGCCUUAGGGUUGUAAAGCCCUUUCACCGGAGAAGAUAAUGACGGUAUCCGGAGAAGAAGCCCCGGCUAACUUCGUGCCAGCAGCCGCAGUAAAAC
rnacentral:rRNA from 1 species